CCAAUCAGUGGAGGAGCAGCUGAUCUGUUUGUGAUGAUGAUGAGGGUUUCCUCUGCAGGUGAAGGCUGGAAGAAGGUGUGUGGGAGCUGAUCCUCAAUCCAGCAGCAUGGAUCAGUGGGAGGACACACAGGAGGGAGCUCUGCAAAGACUGAAACAGAUCCAACAGGAACCUGGACUUGGACCUGGAUCUGGAUCCAGAUUAAAGGACCGUAAUCCUGGAUUCAAGAACAUCAAUUCAGCAGUAGAACAGAACCAAUCUGCAUCCAGCUGUGUGUCCUUCAGGAGUGACAGGUCAAAGGGUCAAAAUCCUGAAUUUAAAGCCGCCAGUUCAACAGUAAAACAGGAAGUAUUUAUCAGAUACUUUGUAUGAAUUCAACAGAAUAUUUGAUGAUCUGGAGGUUUUUCGAACCAAACUGUCAGCAGAUAAAUAUCAAAGAUGGAGAAUUCAUCGAUUCUCAUCAGCAAACGUUUCUCUUUUUCAUAUCUUUUCCUUCUCUACUAUUUCUCUUUUCCUCAGACUGACCCAGAACUUCUCCCAGUCUUACAUAUUGGUGACUACCAUAACCAUGUCCAGCUGUGGAGUUCAGUUCAGUUUGAUGAAUAUUUGAAAGUAACAGUACAGUAUACAUGGUAAAUGGAGUAUAUAUAGUACUCAUACAGUACUUUAGUUCUGUCUUAGAAGGUCCAU